CAGUAGCCGCGGUAAUGCGUAGGUCCCGAGCGUUGUCCGGAUUUAUUGGGCGUAAAGCGAGCGCAGGCGGUUAGAUAAGUCUGAAGUUAAAGGCUGUGGCUUAACCAUAGUACGCUUUGGAAACUGUUUAACUUGAGUGCAAGAGGGGAGAGUGGAAUUCCAUGUGUAGCGGUGAAAUGCGUAGAUAUAUGGAGGAACACCGGUGGCGAGAGCGGCUCUCUGGCUUGUAGCUGACGCUGAGGCUCGAAAGCGUGGGGAGCAAACGGGAUUAGAUACCCCUGUAGUCCCUGUCUCUUAUACA
rnacentral:rRNA from 1 species